AUUAGGACCACAGUGUUGGGAGAUUCAAAUUGAUGUGCCAAUAGUACGCAAUGAACCACUACUUAGACCAUAUAGUAGCUAUCAAACAAUUGGAGAUGCUGUUGGAGCAACUGUUGCUUGGCCAUAUACUUUUGUUAAGUGCAAGUAGUGCAUGAUAUUGUGUUCAUCUCCGCGCAAUAUAUUUUGAACCUGUUAGAAACAAAAAGACAUGGAGCACAUUUCUUAUAAUUUUGUGAUGAUCACUUUUAUAUGUUACUACUUAUAGUGCAGAACAUGUAUUUAACAAAUAUAAUCUUGGAAUAUUUUGGCAUAUUAGAUGUAUAAUCUUGAGAUAUUUUGGCA